GAUGAACGCUGGCGGCGUGCCUAACACAUGCAAGUCGAGCGAACAGACGAGGAGCUUGCUCCUCUGACGUUAGCGGCGGACGGGUGAGUAACACGUGGAUAACCUACCUAUAAGACUGGGAUAACUUCGGGAAACCGGAGCUAAUACCGGAUAAUAUAUUGAACCGCAUGGUUCAAUAGUGAAAGACGGUUUUGCUGUCACUUAUAGAUGGUUCCGCGCUGCAUUAGCUAGUUGGUAAGGUAACGGCUUACCAAGGCGACGAUGCGUAGCCGACCUGAGAGGGUGAUCGGCCACACUGGAACUGAGACACGGUCCAGACUCCUACGGGAGGCAGCAGUAGGGAAUCUUCCGCAAUGGGCGAAAGCCUGACGGAGCAACGCCGCGUGAGUGAUGAAGGUCUUCGGAUCGUAAAACUCUGUUAUUAGGGAAGAACAAAUGUGUAAGUAACUAUGCACGUCUUGACGGUACCUAAUCAGAAAGCCACGGCUAACUACGUG
rnacentral:rRNA from 1 species